rnacentral:rRNA from 1 species
CCUACGGGAGGCAGCAGUGAGGAAUAUUGGUCAAUGGGCGCGAGCCUGAACCAGCCAAGUCGCGUGAGGGAGUACUGCCCUAUGGGUUGUAAACCUCUUUUGUCGGGGAGCAAAAGCCGGACGUGUCCGGCUGUGAGAUUACCCGUAGAAAAAGCAUCGGCUAACUCCGUGCCAGCAGCCGCGGUAAUACGGAGGAUUCGAGGGUUAUCCGGAUUUGUUGGGUUUAAGGGGGGCGCAGGCGGAUUUUGACGUCAGCGGUCAAAUCGUGGGGCUCAACCCCAUCCAGCCGUUGAAACUGGGGAUCUAGAGUGUGCGAGAGGUAGGCGGAAUGCGUGGUGUAGCGGUGAAAUGCAUAGAUAACACGCAGAACCCCGAUUGCGAAGGCAGCACACCGGGGCACAACUGACGCUCAGGCACGAAAGCGUGGGUAUCGAACAGGAUUAGAUACCCCUGUAGUC